CGGGAUGAUAUUUGAUUAGUAUUAGAACCGGCCCGCAGGCCACAGCCGCCUGCUGCUGUUUUGCGCAUCAAUACUCCAUUCCCCACAAUGCAACUGUAGCCCACGAACUCACUGCGAACUGUCCAGUUCAUUUUCAGCAACAGUUCAGUCAGACCAACGGGGGUGUUCAGCUCUCUGUCAAGUUCACUCCUCCUUAAUGGUGCCACUUCACUCUGCUACUGGAUGGUGGAGGGCUAACUGCGAACGGGUGGUCUAUGAAUGCUAUACUGAAUGGAUGGCAGGGAAGCACAACACACGUGAAUUUCUAAAUGAAGAAGAGUUAAUAAAUGCACUUGAUUUUCAAACUGA